AAUCUGUUUCUGGAUUACGACUGUUCCAAUCGGGAUCAGAGUACUCAUUGUUCUACAAGGACAGACAAGAUAAUUGGAGGCCUGUCGGUGAUGUACCAUGGAAAGAGUUUAUAGAAUGUGUGAAGCGGUUGAGGAUUGCAAGAAAGAAUUCGGGCAUUGUUUCCUAUUCAUCAAGAUGCACCUAAAUUCCGUGUCUCUUACUUGAGUAGAAAUUAAAUUAAUCAAAGUUGUUUUGAUGUCCUUCUGUUAAGUUGUUUUGGCCAUGUAAUAGUUGAUGGAUUCAUUCAAACUAGUGCACAUGGUAUAUUAGAAAGCAAGUCCGUGAUGGAAACGUACCUUACGUGACAUGUAAUGAUUAAAAUGGAAUACCAAUAAUCACUUCCAAAAUUCAAUCAA